AACUAUUUGUAGGGGUAUAUAUGCUGCAUGCCAUCUCUCUGUCUCUGUCUCUCUCUCUCUCCCUCUCUCUCUUCUGUUUUAUGUCCUGCUAUCUCCAUCCCACACCUCUAUUAGUAUGAAGACUUUCUGCCCAUCUCGACAAAUGAAUUUCAUCUUAGGAAAACCAGCAAAAUGCUACUUAGUCAAGAAGGACAAAAAUAAAAAAACACCACCUUCCCAAAUCAAAAACUCCACCACCACCCUGACUCCACAAUAAGAGGGCUACGCCAAAAUGAAUGUGGAAUCCUGAGCCGAACCAUCCAUCACAUUUCCCGAGUCUUUCAAUUAAUGACACUGCAAUCAGAUCGAUGGCGUGUAAUAAGAAAAGAGCUUUGCAUUUCUAUACCUAUUAAUUCGCUGAGUAACUCCAGAGGUAAAACGUGACCAGAAAGGGAAAGGGGAAGAAAAAAUUCAUCGUCCGAGCAAGAUUUUUAGGGAGGUUUGGGCCAGUUUACACAAGUCUCCCCCUUUCCUCCCCCACCUCCCAAACAACCUGAAAAGUCAAAAGAAAAAUCAACUAUGCUUUUCCU